rnacentral:rRNA from 1 species
GUCUUCCUACGGGACGCAGCAGUGAGGAAUAUUGGUCAAUGGACGCAAGACUGAACCAGCCAAGUAGCGUGCAGGAUGACGGCCCUCCGGGUUGUAAACUGCUUUUAGUUGGGAAUAAAAGGGGGCUCGUGAGCCCCGUAUUGUAUGUACCAUCAGAAAAAGGACCGGCUAAUUCCGUGCCAGCAGCCGCGGUAAUACGGAAGGUCCGGGCGUUAUCCGGAUUUAUUGGGUUUAAAGGGAGCGUAGGCCGGCUUUUAAGUCAGCUGUGAAAGUCCGCUACUCAACCGUGGAAUUGCAGUUGAACU